UUUUUUUUCUAUUCCUCGUGAUGUGUCUUUUCAAUUGGAAAAAAUAUGUAUUUAUGUUAAAAUCCUAUUUUUUGCAUGAAUAAGUGAUUUGAGCAAUACUUAUAUCAGAGUGAAACAUUAUAAUAGAAUAUUUUUAUAUUUAUAUACUGACGAAGAGAUCUCUGUCUGUCUUCAUCUGUUUUGAUGAUCAGGGUUACUUUACAUUAGGGCCUAUUCAUUGUCCAACUUACGUAGAUGUUUAGGUUCAUGAAUCUCUCCGAUAUAUACCUGUCCUUUUUUUUUUUGCUGAUAGUAUAAAAAUAAGAAGAUUUGGUAUGAUUUCCAAUGAGACAACUUUCCACCAAAUACCAAAUGACAUAAAAGUUAACAGCUUGUCUGUUCUUAGUCAUAUUGUAAUACUAGUGUAUUAUCCCUCUGUAACCUUUUUAAUUAAUUUGUGCCAUUUUUAAAUCUUGUAAUUAAAUCUCUCCAGUCAACAGGUCAUACAUAAAUUGCAUGCCUACAUACCAUGCCUUCUUUCUAAUCUUUAUUGGAAGUUUACAUUUUCUCAUGGUUGGCGAAUUUUGCUAACUUUUGCCAAGUGCAUUAUUUAGAUUCCUAUUAUCAAAAUGCAAUAAUAAAGGUGCAAGGUUGUAUUAUUGGUCCAUUGUUCUGUAUUCUGUAAACCCCAUACAGAUCCUCAUUGCAGGAUAUCACAGACAUUCCUUUAACAUUUUAACAUCACAAGACAAAAUAGCUUACACCACAAACUAGAGGUCAUGAAGGUCAUUGUUUCACACUGUCUAUAUGUGAAGUACAUGCAUUGCAAAAUCUUGGGUCAAGUAUUGCAGAAUCUCAAAGAGUGAUAAGAAUAAAUAGCUAUGCAAUAAAGAUUUAUGCAAUAAAGAUUUAUGUGAAAAGAUUUUUUUUAUUUAUGUACUAUUUGUAUAUGCUGAGUUGUAUGACUAUUUCAUUGUUUAUUAUUCAUGUUAUUUGGAUUUAUAUGUGAGUCCAUGUUUUAAUGCUUAAUUUUUUACAAUUUUUCUAAAUAAA
rnacentral:lncRNA from 1 species